GUCGUUAUUCAGAGUCAGCCUCCGACUGCUUCUUGCCCUCUUGCACGUCUUCCAGCCGGGGGGACUGCGCUCCAUCACGUGGGCCGGCAAAAUUUCACAUACAGCCAUUCCCUAUCCUGCCUCGGACAGAAUGGUCCCACUUUUAAAGGAAAGUCCUAUUGUUAAGAGGGCAUUAACUGGAGUAAUUUCAAAUAAAAGGGGCUGGAUAGCUCUGACUGCGGAUCAUCGCUGAGAGCAGGGCAGCAAUGAGCUGCUGAACGGAGCGACGGGCAGUGAUUUCCCAGUUUGGUUUUAGUUGUCCUGCACCGAGACAUCCAAACGGACGACUACUGUUUUUUGGAUGCUCAAGAGAGCGGUGGAAGGAGCAAGGCACAGACUCGCGCCUCGCCGAGAGCUCUUUACUGCUUUCUCGAGACGUGCUGACACGACGCCCGGGUGAGCCUGUCAGCUCCAUAGCUCUCUGUACGUUAUACUGCAAAAUGAAAGAGAAGUGAGGAAAGGCUCACUGUUUGCUGAGAAGGCCAUUAAAUCAUACCCCGAUGGAUGCGCCGGCUUUCGGAGUCUGGUGAAUAAAGGUCCCUGAAGUGCAGAUAAAGAAACACGGACACGAGUCAUCGGCUAUGUAUACAGAGCAUCAGCUAUCAACAACAAAAGCAAGUCUCAUACCUGAUUUUAUGCUGUGUAGCUAUGUGUCUAAUUCUGUCUUUUAAAGACCGAGUUAUGUUUCCAGCAUCUUGAAAAUUUGUCCCCAUUG